GGCACGGAGGACACUACUAAACCGCAUGGCUACUAAACGUCGUCAGUUUGAAAACCGAAGACACCAAAUGAUUCUACUUCGUUGCAGUUAACACUGUUAAAAGAAUCAAAUAAAUAUAUUGAAUCCCA